rnacentral:rRNA from 1 species
AGCAGCAGCCACGGUAAUACGAAGGGUGCAAGCGUUACUCGGAAUUACUGGGCGUAAAGCGUGCGUAGGUGGUGGUUUAAGUCCGUUGUGAAAGCCCUGGGCUCAACCUGGGAAUUGCAGUGGAUACUGGGUCACUAGAGUGUGGUAGAGGAUAGUGGAAUUUCCGGUGUAGCAGUGAAAUGCGUAGAGAUCGGAAGGAACAUCUGUGGCGAAGGCGACUAUCUGGGCCAACACUGACACUGAGGCACGAAAGCGUGGGGAGCAAACAGGAUUAGAUACCCCUGUAGUCCCUGUCUCUUAUAC